rnacentral:lncRNA from 1 species
AAAGACAGGGUUUCACCAUGUUGGCCAGGCCGGUCUUGAACUCCUGACCUCAAGUGAUGUGCCUGCCUCUGCCUCUCAAAGUGCUGGGAUUUUAGGCAUGAGCCACUGAACCCGGCCAAGUCUCAAAAACUCAGAUAGUUUACCCAAAGUAGAUCUCCUCUGAAAGAACUUCUAAAGUUUGUAAUUCAGGGAGAAGGAAGUUGAACUUAGAAUCAAGGACUGAUAAGGAAAGAGAAAUAAUGAGUAAAGAAAUAGAUAAAAGAGUAAUUAUAAAAAUACAGAAUGAAACGAUAAUAGUAACACUAAUGACUAAUUAAAGAGUAAAGAAAAAGAAUCAAAUUAUCAAAAAGUAACGUUUUGUCAUUGGUCAUGCUAAAGAAUUCUAAAGUUCUUGUAUUAGAAGGAGAGUGAGUAACGUAGCAGCAAUAACAAUAACUACAGUUAAUUUAAAAGCCUGCUCUACACAUGGCAUGGUCUUAAGCCUUUUUAGGUAAUUAACUUAUUCCCCAGAACAGCCCUGUGAGUUUGAUAUUAUUAUCAUCAUCACUAUUUUGCCCAAGGGGAAAACUGGCCCUCAGGAGGCCAAAAGUGACUUCCCAAGGGACACAGUGGGGUGUGGCUGAGUUGUGAUUCAAUCUGGCACAGUCGGGUUCUGAGCAGGUCUUCCUAACCAUGGCGAUGUUACAUUGAUACUUUGUUAAGAAGUGUGUCAGCAUUUUAGGAGAAGAAUUAAAAGAACAGAAACAGAGUUGACAGCUUCUAAAUAAAUUGAGCAAAAAUGGAAUUAAAAAUACUUGAUCAUGUCAAAAGAAGACAGGAAGAGAAAAAAAUCAUAGAAAAAGCACAAUAAAUGAAAAAUCAUAUGGAAGAUAUAAAUCCAAGUAUAUUAGUAAUAUCAAUAAAUGUAAGCAACUAAUGGUAUGUUUUGAGGGGAGUAAAGCAGAAUGGUUAAAUUGAAUAUAAAAAAAUCCAUAUACUGCAGAAAGGAGACAAACCAAGGAAACAAAAAAGAUGAAAGUAAAAGAAUGGGAAAAGAUGUUCCAGGCAAAUACUAACCAAAAGAAAGCUGGUAUAGAUACAUUAGAAGCAAUGAUAUUUUAAUUAUCACCGGUUUAUUAUUUGGCUUUAAGGCAAAAAUCCUGUUUAGGGAUAAAGUGACCACAUAAUGAUAAAGGGUUAAAUUCUCCAGGAACAUACAACAGUUUAAACCAAUAGCAACACAAUACUAGAGUCUUAAGGCCCAUGCAACAAUGAAACAAAACAUGACUGAAUUAUAAGAAGAAAUUGAGAAAUCCACAGUUAUGAUGGGAAAGUUCUCUCAGUGAACAAUAAAUAAAGCAAACAAAAUUUAGUAAGGCCAUGAUACAGGUGAAGAACACAAAUGAUAAAGGAACCUUCAUGUAGUGAAUAUACGUAGAAUCCUUAACCAGACAAUGAGCAAAUACAUAUUUUUACAUGGAAUAUUUGUGAAAAUUGACCGUGCGUUACCUAGACCUAGGGCAAAUUUCAAAGAAUAGGUAUACAGACCACAUUUUCUGACUACAACAAAAUCAAAUUAUAAAUCAAAAACAAAAAUAACUAGGAUAUAUACAUAAUAUUUUUAAAACACUUUUGAAUAGCUCAUAAGUAAAAGAAAAUCAUAAUAGGAGUUAGAAAACAUUUAGGACAUACCAAUAUUAAAAUAUCAUACAUAAAAAUUUGCAAAUUAAGCUAAAAUAAUACAAAGAACAAGUGUUAUAUCCUAAAAUGCUUAUAUAAGGAGAAACCUAAAAACUUCAUCUUAAAGAGUUAGAGAAAUUAUAGCAAAAUAAAUUCUGAGAAAAUGGAAGAAGAAACUAACAGAAAACAAAUUAAUGAAACACAGAACAAAAGGGCAACAAACAUAAUUUAAAAACCUAAAAAAUACUACAAACCUCUGGCAAGAAAAAAAAGCACAAACAUUAUUAGGACUAAAAAAGGAAACAUAUAACAAAUUCAGCCUAAAUUUUUAAAAAUUGUAAGAAAGACUUCUAAAUUUUUAUGUUCCUCAAAACAAACUCUCAAGAGAUAUAAAGCAAAAUGGGAAGAAUAUUCUAAUCCAACUAGAAACUAACGUUAAAAAAUAAUAGGAAGAACUUAGAAGAGAAAUAAAGAAUUCUAUAAUCACAAGAGGGAAAUUUGAAUACAUCUUUUUCAGUUAUUGACAGAAAUAGCCUUCAAAAAGUUAGUAAAACUAUAAAAGAUUUGAACAAUGUGAUUUACAAAUGUGGCUUAAUAAACAUACACAGAACGCUGAAGUAUGGGAUUGUUGUUACCAUUCUGAUAAAAAUGUUUUCUAAUGUUUCAUUAGAAUAUUUCUAAUAUUUCAUUGUGAUUUUGCCUUUUAUACACAGAUUAUUUAGAAGGGAAGAUUAGAAAGGAAGAAAUAAAACCAUUUUCAUUCACAAAUAACAUGAUUGUCUAUGUAGAAUAUCCAAAUAGCUUUUUAAAAGAAAAGAGAAAAACUCCUAGAACUAAUAUAAGUGAGGUUAGUAAAGUCACAGGAUGUAAGAUCAGCACUGCUGAGCUUAAUAUUUUGCUGUUGCCAUCUUGAAAUUCUGAAUAAUUUUUGAACAAAGGGCUUCACAUUUUUAUUUUGCACUGAGUUCCACAAAUUAUGUAGCUAGUCCUACCUAAGAUGUCAUAGUAGCUGUGGUCCUUAUUCAAGAGUUAUCUAACUGCAAUGUCCACAUUAGCUUUAUUUCCAACCAUAGUCAUUGGAAAAAUUUGCUCAGUGCUUUACUCUGAGAAUUUGUCAUUGAUUUUAUUUAUAUGUUAUUCUCAAAAAGAUGGUUCUUCAAAACCACCUCCAUGAGAGACUAAGAAGGCCAAUGGGAAACCUGCUUUGCUCCUCAUACGCUAUUCUUUCAUGACUCCAAACUCUUCUUAUCCCAGUAUAUCCAAGCUGCUCUUGAUGGAUCACACAUUGCUGCACUGCUAGCAAUUACACAUGGCUCUAUGUACAAAUCUUCAACGGUUGGAUCACACUUUAGGACGAAAUAGGACUGAAUGAAGUGGACAGCAAAUGCUGACUUGCCCCUGACACCUCUUUCAAUCUCUUGUCCAUAUCCUUGGAAUGUUGCUAAGCCCACACUAGCCCACAAAACCCCAAUCCCUAGGUCCAGCUCCAGAUGUCUGCCUGGCAGGCUGAUAGAGAGUAAUCAGGUGAGCCUCCAAAAGGGCGAGUUCACUUAGGGGUACCACUGCACCAGAGGCUGGUCAGGGUUCUUUGAGGGAUAGAGAUGUGUGGUAUCUGGCUGGAACAUGUGGUAGCUAGUGAGGGGCUCUCUCCUCAGCACCUGCUCCCUCUUAAUAUCUUUGGAUUUAACUUACUGUUGUUUUUGUUGUUGUUGUUUUACUAACUUAUUGGAAUGAAUGCUUAAUUAAUUUAUUCUCCUUUUUUCCUAAUAUAUUCUUACAAGCCUAUAGAUUUUCUUUUAAGUACUAUUUUGGCUUCAUCUCAGAUUUUGAUACAUAGUAUUGUUGUUACCAUUCUGAUAAAAAUGUUUUCCAAUAUUUCAUUGUGAUUUUGUUUUUUAUACACAGGUUAUUUAAAAGUGUGUUUUUAUUCAUUUCCAAACAUAUGGGGUUUCUCUAGGUUAUUUUUGGUUGAUUUCUAGCUCAGUGGCAUUAUAGUCAGAAUACACACUUUGUAUGAUUUCAAUCGUUGAAAUUUGUUGAAACUUGCUUUAUGGCCCUGUCCAAAAAAAAAUGGUUCAUGGUUUACAGUCAUCAUAAAAAUGGUCAAUUUUUAUAGAUACUCUAUGUGCUUGAAAAGCAUGUGUAUUGUGUAGAUAUCUUUGCUUUCUUCCUGAUUUUAGGAAUAAGCCUUUCAAUCUUUCACCAUUUUGUAUAAUUUAGCUAUAAGGUUUUUGUAGGUGCAUUUUAUGAGGUUGAGAAAGUUGCUUUCUUAUUCCUAGGCUGCUGAUAACUUUUAUUAUGGGGGCAUUUGAAGUUUGUUAAAUGGUUUUACUGUAUCAAUUGAUAUGAUCAUGUGAUUUUUCUUCUGUGGUUAUUAUGGUGGACUAUAUUGAUUGGUUUCCAAAUAUUGAAAUAGUCUUGCUAUUCCUGGAUAAACUCCAUUGAUCCUGAUAUUUUAUUUUUUUCAUAUAUUCCUGGGUUUGAUUGCUAAUAUUUUGUUGAGGAUCUAAGCUCAUGAGGGAUACUGGUCUGUAAUUUUCUUUUCUUGCACUGUCUUUGUCUGGUUGCCAGAAUCUCUGAAUACAAUGUGUAUUUGUCUUAUUAAUAUUUUUCUUUCUGCUGCAUCAGUUUUUGCUUCAUGUAUUUUGGAGCUAUGUUAUUUGGUGCAUUUCCCCUAAGAUUGCUAUGCCUUCGUGAUGGACUUAUUCCUUUAUUGAUGUGUAAUAUUCUUUGUCCUUAGAAAUUUUCUUUGCUCUGCAGUCCAAUUUAUCUAAUAUUCAUAUAGCCAUUUCUGAGGAUUAUAAGCUCCUAUCACUUAUGAACAUAAAUUCAGAAAUUCUUUAAAAAG